AACGAACGCUGGCGGCAGGCUUAACACAUGCAAGUCGAACGCCCCGCAAGGGGAGUGGCAGACGGGUGAGUAACGCGUGGGAAUCUACCUAGUUCUACGGAACAACAGUUGGAAACGACUGCUAAUACCGUAUACGCCCUAUGGGGGAAAGAUUUAUCGGAAUUAGAUGAGCCCGCGUAAGAUUAGCUAGUUGGUGAGGUAAUGGCUCACCAAGGCGACGAUCUUUAGCUGGUCUGAGAGGAUGAUCAGCCACACUGGGACUGAGACACGGCCCAAACUCCUACGGGAGGCAGCAGUGGGGAAUAGUGGACAAUGGGCGCAAGCCUGAUCCAGCCAUGCCGCGUGAGUGAUGAAGGCCUUAGGGUUGUAAAGCUCUUUCACCGAUGAAGAUAAUGACGGUAGUCGGAGAAGAAGCCCCGGCUAACUUCGUGCCAGCAGCCGCCGCGGUAA
rnacentral:rRNA from 1 species